rnacentral:rRNA from 1 species
AUGGCUCUUCCACUUCAUUGUCAUCUCACAUCUAUGUUUUUUCUGCUGCCUUUCCUCUCCAUGGUGUUUGUAGAUGCAAACUUCAUCGUUUCAGAAGCGGCAUAUUACCCUAGUUCUGAUACAAAAGGGAUCAAAAAUGGAGCAUAUACAAAUGCCAAUAUCCAACAUGUGAGGUGCACGGAUCCUUACUGCUCUGCAAAUGGUGUGACAAUCGUAAUCACUCACUCGGUGUGGAGUGACGGCUCUAAUUUCAUCCUCAGCCUAUGGCUUAGAGUGCGGAUGGUGGUGAAGCGCUGCUUGCCCUUGGUCGUGUUGAACUGA